UACGUAGGGGGCAAGCGUUGUCCGGAUUUAUUGGGCGUAAAGAGCGUGUAGGCGGUCAGGUAGGUCCGUUGUGAAAACUCGAGGCUCAACCUCGAGACGCCGAUGGAAACCAUCUGACUAGAGUCCGGAAGAGGAGAGUGGAAUUCCUGGUGUAGCGGUGAAAUGCGCAGAUAUCAGGAGGAACACCGGUGGCGAAGGCGGUCUGCUGGGCCAAGACUGACGCUGAGGCGCGACAGCGUGGGGAGCAAACAGG
rnacentral:rRNA from 1 species